GGUCUUAGCUUGCUAAGGCUGAUGGCGACCGGCGCACGGGUGAGUAACACGUAUCCAACCUGCCGUCUACUCUUGGCCAGCCUUCUGAAAGGAAGAUUAAUCCAGGAUGGCAUCAUGAGUUCACAUGUCCGCAUGAUUAAAGGUAUUUUCCGGUAGACGAUGGGGAUGCGUUCCAUUAGAUAGUAGGCGGGGUAACGGCCCACCUAGUCAACGAUGGAUAGGGGUUCUGAGAGGAAGGUCCCCCACAUUGGAACUGAGACACGGUCCAAACUCCUACGGGAGGCAGCAGUGAGGAAUAUUGGUCAAUGGGCGAUGGCCUGAACCAGCCAAGUAGCGUGAAGGAUGACUGCCCUAUGGGUUGUAAACUUCUUUUAUAAAGGAAUAAAGUCGGGUAUGCAUACCCGUUUGCAUGUACUUUAUGAAUAAGGAUCGGCUAACUCCGUGCCAGCAGCCGCGGUACAUACGGAGGAUCCGAGCGUUAUCCGGAUUUAUUGGGUUUAAAGGGAGCGUAGAUGGAUGUUUAAGUCAGUUGUGAAAGUUUGCGGCUCAACCGUAAAAUUGCAGUUGAUACUGGAUGUCUUGAGUGCAGUUGAGGCAGGCGGAAUUCGUGGUGUAGCGGUGAAAUGCUUAGAUAUCACGAAGAACUCCGAUUGCGAAGGCAGCCUGCUAAGCUGCAACUG
rnacentral:rRNA from 1 species